rnacentral:tRNA from 1 species
GCCUGGAUGGCUCAGUUGGUUGAGUGCCCGACUUUAGCUCAGGUCGUGAUCUCACAGUUUGUGGGUUUGAGCCCUGCAUCAGGCU